rfam:Anaerococcus prevotii ACS-065-V-Col13 contig00046, whole genome shotgun sequence.
GGGGAUGACUUGGUUUCGACGUGGUUGAGGAGUCUUUAGCUGCAAGUCGUAUGCAAAAACGUAAAUUAGCAAUUAAAUAUAAACGCAAACAACAAUAGCGAAGCAAACUUCGCACUAGCUGCCUAAGAAUAGGCUAGCAAUGAAUAUCGAGCUCGUCGCAAGUUUGAUAUUCGUUUCAUAAUCAAGCGACAACUAUUGUAUGUAAGCUUUGCCAUACAAUCAGUAGAAUGAAGCUAGCAUAAAAAUUUUUCGUUAGAUUUUUAUUUUUUAUGCGAAAUUUCAAAUCUAAAUAAACUUGUAGAUGCUAUUGGGAAAUCUUCCACGGACAAGGGUUCAAAUCCCUUCAUCUCCACCA